GUAACUACCACAAUGGCCACAAAGUGAAAUACAACUACAUUUAACAAUGCUCAAGAGGCCAGGAAUGGAGGAGCAUGACAUCUGAAGGAGCUGAAAGAGAUACGGACAGAUGAGUCGAUGUAGAUUGACAAAGAUCACUUGUGUAGAGCGAACAGGACCAACAAUGCAAAUUAAUUGUUGCCGUUUCCUCAGACUGAACUCUUAAUAUGGCUGAUAUUAACAGACCAUAAGGAUGUUGCCAAGGUACAGAUUAACGGUCCUGACCUGCUGCAAGAGGGCUGCGAACGGUGAGAGGGCUGAACUCUAGAUAACCAUUUUGAUGCAGCAAAUAAGAAGAAACCAUUCCACCACAAUCUCUCUCUGUUAAUGUUUGCAGAUUGAACUAUGUCCGUAUAAGCAAAGCAGCGUGCAGAGAUUGUGCCUACUUUGCAAACAUUGCAUAAGCUUUUUUUGUGAAAAUUACCCAUGGGGCUUCCAUCAGAAAAUGCAUUCCAUAUGCAGUGCAGGUUGUAUUGCUUAAUGGAUAAUCUGUUUUCUGGCAGAAAAUGGACCAAUAACUGGGUUUGAAUGUGAACUUUAUAACUAUUGCAUUUUGAUGAUUAUAUUUCCAUUCACAAUGCCAACUGUUGGAAAUAUUCUCACCUCUCUGAGUUUUGGAUGCUAUUCAGUCAUAUAUAAAAGUGAGAUUUGAUAUCUCAGAGUAAGAGUGCCUUUGUUAAUAAAACCUCAGCAAUUCA